rnacentral:rRNA from 1 species
AACGAACGCUGGCGGCAGGCCUAACACAUGCAAGUCGAACGAGAAGCCACCUUCGGGUGGUGGACAGUGGCAGACGGGUGAGUAACGCGUGGGAACGUGCCUUUCGGUUCGGGAUAACCCAGGGAAACUUGGGCUAAUACCGGAUACGCCCUUCGGGGAAAGAUUCAUUGCCGAAAGAUCGGCCCGCGUCGGAUUAGCUAGUUGGUGGGGUAAAAGCCUACCAAGGCGACGAUCCGUAGCUGGUCUGAGAGGAUGACCAGCCACACUGGGACUGAGACACGGCCCAGACUCCUACGGGAGGCAGCAGUGGGGAAUAUUGGACAAUGGGCGCAAGCCUGAUCCAGCCAUGCCGCGUGGGUGAAGAAGGCCUUAGGGUUGUAAACCCCUUUCAGCGGGGAAGAUAAUGACGGCACCCGCAGAAGAAGUCCCGGCUAACUCCGUGCCAGCCGCCGCGGUAA